GCUCGGGUCCCGCGCGACGAUCCCCUUCGAAUCGUGUCAGGUCCGGAAGGAAGCAGCACUCAGGAGGUCAGAUCGGGCGCCGCGGAUCACCCGGGCUCA
rnacentral:SRP_RNA from 1 species